CAGCAGCCGCGGGAAUACGGAGGGUGCAAGCGUUAUCCGGAUUCACUGGGUUUAAAGGGUGCGUAGGCGGAUCUGUAAGCCAGUGGUGAAAUCUCCAGGCUUAACCUGGAAACUGCCGUUGAUACUAUAGGUCUUGAAUUUUGUGGAGGUUAGCGGAAUAUGUCAUGUAGCGGUGAAAUGCAUAGAUAUGACAUAGAACACCAAUUGCGAAGGCAGCUGGCUACACAACUAUUGACGCUGAGGCACGAAAGCGUGGGGAUCAAACAGGAUUAGAUACCCCAGUAGUCCCUGUCUCUUAUAC
rnacentral:rRNA from 1 species